AAAUAAGAAGCAAUUUUUGCAUUUAGUUUCGACCUAAAAAUUUGAUUUUAUUAUCCUUAUUUU
rnacentral:tRNA from 1 species